rnacentral:tRNA from 5 species
GCGGACGUGGUGAAAUUGGUAGACACGCUAGAUUUAGGUUCUAGUAAGAUUUUCUUGUGAGAGUUCGAGUCUCUCCGUCCGCA